AAACUUUACCAUUAAAGAAACCGUGAUAAGGGAACUCCGAGUGCCCGGAAAAUCCUGCUGUCCAUCUGUUUAAAUAACAGGUGAAGAAAGGGCCGGGCAAGACCGGUGCCAGCCGCCGCGGUAAUACCGGCGGCUCGAGUGGUGGCCACUAUUACUGGGCUUAAAGCGUUCGUAGCUGGUCUGUUAAGUCUCUGGGGAAAUCUACUGGCUUAACCAAUAGGCGUUUCAGGGAUACUGGCAGACUAGGGACCGGGAGAGGUGAGGGGUACUCCAGGGGUAGGAGUGAAAUCCUGUAAUCCUUGGGGGACCACCUGUGGCGAAGGCGCCUCACCAGAACGGCUCCGACAGUGAGGGACGAAAGCUGGGGGAGCAAACCGGAUUAGAUACCCGGGUAGUCCCAGCCGUAAACGAUGCGCGUUAGGUGUAUCGGUGACCACGAGUCACCGAGGUGCCGAAGAGAAAUCGUGAAACGUGCCGCCUGGGAAGUACGGUCGCAAGGCUGAAACUUAAAGGAAUUGGCGGGGGAGCAC
rnacentral:rRNA from 1 species